AACGAACGCUGGCGGCAUGCCUAACACAUGCCAGUCGAACGAUCCCUUCGGGGUUAGUGGCGCACGGGUGCGUAACGCGUGGGAACCUACCCUUAGGUUCGGAAUAACUCAGAGAAAUUUGAGCUCAUACCGGAUAAUGUCUUCGGACCAAAGAUUUAUCGCCUUUGGAUGGGCCCGCGUUGGAUUAGCUAGUUGGUGGGGUAAAGGCCUACCAAGGCGACGAUGCAUAGCUGGUCUGAGAGGAUGAUCAGCCACACUGGGACUGAGACACGGCCCAGACUCCUACGGGAGGGAGCAGUGGGGAAUAUUGGACAAUGGGCGAAAGCCUGAUCCAGCAAUGCCGCGUGAGUGAUGAAGGCCGUAGGGUUGUAAAGCUCUUUUACCCGGGAUGAUAAUGACAGUACCGGGAGAAUAAGCCCCGGCUAACUACGUG
rnacentral:rRNA from 1 species